rnacentral:rRNA from 1 species
AGUGGCGAACGGGUUAGUAACGCGUGGGAACAUACACAGCACAGGGGGAUAACCAUUGGAAACGAUGGCUAAUACCGCAUACGCCCUAAUGGGGAAAGAUUUAUCGGUGUUGGAUUGGCCCGCGUUAGAUUAGCUAGUUGGUGGGGUAAUGGCUCACCAAGGCGACGAUUUAUAGCUGGUUUGAGAGGAUGAUCAGCAACACUGGAACUGAGACACGGUCCAGACUCCUACGGGAGGCAGCAGUCGGGAAUAUUGUGCAAUGGGGGCAACCCUGACACAGCCAUGCCGCGUGAGUGAAGAAGGCCUUAGGGUUGUAAAGCUCUUUCAGAUGUGAGGAUGAUGGCGAUAGCAUCAGAAGAAGCUCCGGCUAACUUCGUGCCAGCAGCCGCGGUAAUACGAAGGGAGCUAGCGU